GCUAUAAUGCAGUCGAGCGCGGGAAGCGAGUGGAUCCCUUCGGGGUGAAGCUCGUGGAACGAGCGGCGGACGGGUGAGUAACACGUGGGCAACCUGCCUGUAAGAUCGGAAUAACCCCGGGAAACCGGGGCUAAUGCCGGGUAAUACUUUCUUUCGCAUGAAGGAAAGUUGAAAGAUGGCUUCUCGCUAUCACUUACAGAUGGGCCCGCGGCGCAUUAGCUAGUUGGUGAGGUAACGGCUCACCAAGGCGACGAUGCGUAGCCGACCUGAGAGGGUGAUCGGCCACACUGGGACUGAGACACGGCCCAGACUCCUACGGGAGGCAGCAGUAGGGAAUCUUCCGCAAUGGACGAAAGUCUGACGGAGCAACGCCGCGUGAACGAUGAAGGUCUUCGGAUCGUAAAGUUCUGUUGUUAGGGAAGAACAAGUACCGUGCGAAUAGAGCGGUACCUUGACGGUACCUAACGAGGAAGCCCCGGCUAACUACGUGCCAGCAGCCGCGGUAAUACGUAGGGGGCAAGCGUUGUCCGGAAUUAUUGGGCGUAAAGCGCGCGCAGGCGGUUCCUUAAGUCUGAUGUGAAAGCCCACGGCUCAACCGUGGAGGGUCAUUGGAAACUGGGGAACUUGAGGACAGAAGAGGAGAGUGGAAUUCCACGUGUAGCGGUGAAAUGCGUAGAUAUGUGGAGGAACACCAGUGGCGAAGGCGACUCUCUGGUCUGUUUCUGACGCUGAGGUGCGAAAGCGUGGGUAGCAAACAGGAUUAGAUACCCUGGUAGUCCACGCCGUAAACGAUGAGUGCUAGGUGUUAGGGGGCUUCCACCCCUUAGUGCUGAAGUUAACGCAUUAAGCACUCCGCCUGGGGAGUACGGCCGCAAGGCUGAAACUCAAAGGAAUUGACGGGGGCCCGCACAAGCGGUGGAGCAUGUGGUUUAAUUCGAAGCAACGCGAAGAACCUUACCAGGUCUUGACAUCCUUGGACAAUCCUAGAGAUAGGACUUUCCCUUCGGGGACCAAGUGACAGGUGGUGCAUGGUUGUCGUCAGCUCGUGUCGUGAGAUGUUGGGUUAAGUCCCGCAACGAGGGCAACCCCUAAUCUUAGUUGCCAGCAUUCAGUUGGGCACUCUAAGGUGACUGCCGGUGACAAACCGGAGGAAGGCGGGGAUGACGUCAAAUCAUCAUGCCCCUUAUGACCUGGGCUACCACCGUGCUACAAUGGAUGGUACAAAGGGCACCGAAACCCCGAGGGUUAACAAAUCCCAUAAAACCUUUCCCAGUUCGGAUUGCAGGGUGGAACUCCCCCGGUAAGAAACCGGAAUUCCUUUGAAACCCGGGAA
rnacentral:rRNA from 1 species